CGGGGCGUGGCUCAGUUUGGCUAGAGCGCCUGCUUUGGGAGCAGGAGGCCACAGGUUCAAGUCCUGUCGCCCCGA
rnacentral:tRNA from 1 species